UAAAAUGUAUAAGUGUUUCAAUAUUAUUUGAAAAAAUUAUUAAUAGCAAGAACAUUUUUUAAAACUUCCAAUACAUAACAAAAUUUAUUUGUAUACUUCUGUAUGAUACUCUAUCGAGGUAUAAAAUAUGAAAAUUAACUAUAUUUUAUAAAAUAUUGCUCUAAACGUUUAUACGUAUUUAUACCAACCCGAUCUCGACUCACGGGUGAGUUUCAUUUGUCAUUGAAAAUUUCCAAAUUCAAAUUUCGAGACUUUUUGUGCUAAGGAAUUAUUUUUGCUUUGAAGAACAAGGCGUGGGGAUAUAGCUUCCAUUGCGCGGGAAAAACCUGAGGUGACAAUCCAAUCGGCACCAGAACUUGAGCGGUCCCAAAACUCCAACUCGCCAUCGAGUUCUCGAGCUUCCUUUCAGAUCGAAUUGUAUCAAAUCUCUCUUCAGCGACCAGCUAAGAUGCUGCAUCUGUGUUGAAUCCAGCGGAAUUGCCGAUGAUUCCACCAAGAAAUGCAAAUCCAGGUAAUUCAUUUUGUUCACUUUGAACGGCCGAUGAGCUACUAGUGAUGCGAUUUCUAUUCCGUCAAAAAGUAGGACAAAAUCCGUCUUUGAAAAGCCUGCGUGUGCUUUAGCAUUUUGAUUCUCGGCUCGGACGACGAUCUUCAUUUGGACUUCAAGCAAUCCGGUUCUACUGCUUCGGAUUCUUUCAAGAUGACCGUCGGUUACACUGAUUGACGGUACCCUAGGGCGGAUCGUAACAUAGCCGAUGAAGAUGACGAUGCCUGCUAUGAUUACUGCAAGAGCUAUGGUGGCGCAGAUUAUGCCGGCGAUCCAAAUUAGAGGAUGAGUAUGUCGCUUUAGACUGGAUAGGAAAUUUGGUGGCAUUUGAGAUCGAUGCAAUUUCUCAUAAACUAAUGACAGUAGUGAGUGAAAAAAAGAAGUACGGGUAUAUCUGGAUUGGCAGCUAAUCUCACUCUUCACCACUUUUGUUGUGUUGCAGAGCUCAAUUUUAGGGAGAAAAACUGAGGAAGGAAUGCACGAUUAUUAAAAAGUUGCAGUGAUGGGCGGAGAAGGUUUUGGUAUAUCUUCCUUGCCCUCUUUUAACGCAUCCAAAUAUAAAAGAAUUACUACUGUUAUAGCAUAUUUGUUAUCUGAGAAUUUAUCCAAAGCUUUGUCGAGUAAUGGUUUCCUUCAAUCAUACUCGCAGAUUUCUUUUUUGAAUGCCCUAUAGUACUAAUGAUAAUCUAAUGAUUAAUUUAAAUUAACAAAAAGAUAAUGUUAAUGAUUGUGUAUACUAUUUAGAUCGGAGUAUAUGUUUUGUCUAGAUUUGCUUAUGGACUAUUUUUGUAGUUCACUUCUAGUUGAAUAUCAUAGAUCCUGUUCUUUUCUGUGCUAUAAAUACUUUGAACUUAAUUAUCGUUGGUAUAUUUUAAAAGUAACUUGUUUAAGUUAACUUGUUUAAUUACUUAAACGAUACAUAAUGUUUGGACCUACUAUGCAACUCAAUUUUUUUUUUUUUCUAACCUAAAAUACCAAACUUACAAUGGAAUUUUUUUAGCUGUUUCCCUUGUAAUCUACACACAACCACCAAUUUGAAG
rnacentral:lncRNA from 1 species